rnacentral:rRNA from 1 species
GAUCCUGGCUCAGGAUGAACGCUGGCGGCAUGCCUAACACAUGCAAGUCGAACGGAGCACCCCUGACAGAGAUUUCGGUCAAUGGAUGGGAAUGCUUAGUGGCGGACGGGUGAGUAACGCGUGAGGAACCUGCCUUUCAGUGGGGGAUAACACAUCGAAAGAUGUGCUAAUACCGCAUAACAUAGCGAUGGGGCAUCCCAUUGUUAUCAAAGAUUUAUUGCUGAAAGA